CCUACGGGAGGCAGCAGUGGGGAAUUUUGGACAAUGGGCGAAAGCCUGAUCCAGCAAUGCCGCGUGAGUGAAGAAGGCCUUCGGGUUGUAAAGCUCUUUUGUCAGGGAAGAAACGGUGAGAGCUAAUAUCUCUUGCUAAUGACGGUACCUGAAGAAUAAGCACCGGCUAACUACGUGCCAGCAGCCGCGGUAAUACGUAGGGUGCAAGCGUUAAUCGGAAUUACUGGGCGUAAAGCGUGCGCAGGCGGUUUUGUAAGUCUGAUGUGAAAUCCCCGGGCUCAACCUGGGAAUUGCAUUGGAGACUGCAAGGCUAGAAUCUGGCAGAGGGGGGUAGAAUUCCACGUGUAGCAGUGAAAUGCGUAGAUAUGUGGAGGAACACCGAUGGCGAAGGCAGCCCCCUGGGUCAAGAUUGACGCUCAUGCACGAAGACGUGGGAGGACGAACGAGGAGUAGUAUACCUACGUAGUACGACCGACCCGUAACCGACUAGUCUACUAGUUGUCGGUUCGUUAUUAGUACGUUGUUAACGUACGAGCGUACGACGUGAAGUAGACCGUCCGUCGGGGUAGGUUACGGGUUCGGUCGAAGAAGUUAAACGUUAACGAAGUUAGAGUUAGACGGCGUUGAGACGUUGCCGACGGACGACGACGAGGGAGGAGG
rnacentral:rRNA from 1 species